rnacentral:rRNA from 1 species
CCUACGGGAGGCAGCAGUGAGGAAUAUUGGUCAAUGGACGCAAGUCUGAACCAGCCAUGCCGCGUGCAGGAAGACGGCUCUAUGAGUUGUAAACUGCUUUUGUACGAGGGUAAACGCAGAUACGUGUAUCUGUCUGAAAGUAUCGUACGAAUAAGGAUCGGCUAACUCCGUGCCAGCAGCCGCGGUAAUACGGAGGAUUCCAGCGUUAUCCGGAUUUAUGGGGUUUAAAGGGUGCGUAGGCGGGCGGAUAUGUUAGAGGUGAAAUCUCGUGGCUCAACUUCGGAAUUGCAGCUGAUACGGGUCGUCUAGAGAGUAGUGGCGGUAGGCGGAAUGUAUGGUGUAGCGGUGAAAUGCUUAGAGAUCAUACAGAACACCGAUUGCGAAGGCAGCUUACCGAGCUACUACUGACGUUGAGGCACGAAAGCGUGGGGAGCAAACAGGAUUAGAUACCCGUGUAGUC